rnacentral:rRNA from 1 species
UACCAGCACCCCGAGUGGUCGGGGACGAUUAUUGGGCCUAAAGCAUCCGUAGCCGGUUCUACAAGUCUUCCGUUAAAUCCACCUGCUUAACAGAUGGGCUGCGGAGGAUACUAUAGAGCUAGGAGGCGGGAGAGGCAAGCGGUACUUAGUGGGUAGGGGUAAAAUCCGUUGAUCCAUUGAAGACCACCAGUGGCGAAGGCGGCUUGCCAGAACGCACUCGACGGUGAGGGAUGAAAGCUGGGGGGAGCAAACCGGG